ACAGUAUCUUAGGAUAUCAAACAAUAUCUUAGGAUAUCAUACAAUAUCUUGGGAUAUCAUUCAGUAUCUUAAGAUAUCAUACAAUAUCCCGGGAUAUCAUGCAGUAUCUUAGGAUAUCAUACAAUAUCUUAGGAUAUUAUACCUCACAAUGAGCUUGUCCAAUCAGAGAACUAAAUUUGUACCACAUGACCAUGGUAUUUUUCAGCGAAUACUAUGACCUAGGCAAUUUGAACCCUGGGUGUUUUACCCGGGGCCAUGGUAUUCGACUUCGAAUACCACGCUUGAGCGGGAAAUUCG